ACCCUUUAAUGUUUGAUGUUCUAACGUGGACCCGUUACCCGGGUUGCGGACAGUGUCUGGUGGGUAGUUUGACUGGGGCGGUCUCCUCCUAAAGAGUAACGGAGGAGCACGAAGGUUGGCUAAUCCUGGUCGGACAUCAGGAGGUUAGUGCAAUGGCAUAAGCCAGCUUGACUGCGAGCGUGACGGCGCGAGCAGGUGCGAAAGCAGGUCAUAGUGAUCCGGUGGUUCUGAAUGGAAGGGCCAUCGCUCAACGGAUAAAAGGUACUCCGGGGAUAACAGGCUGAUACCGCCCAAGAGUUCAUAUCGACGGCGGUGUUUGGCACCUCGAUGUCGGCUCAUCACAUCCUGGGGCUGAAGUAGGUCCCAAGGGUAUGGCUGUUCGCCAUUUAAAGUGGUACGCGAGCUGGGUUUAGAACGUCGUGAGACAGUUCGGUCCCUAUCUGCCGUGGGCGCUGGAGAACUGAGGGGGGCUGCUCCUAGUACGAGAGGACCGGAGUGGACGCAUCACUGGUGUUCGGGUUGUCAUGCCAAUGGCACUGCCCGGUAGCUAAAUGCGGAAGAGAUAAGUGCUGAAAGCAUCUAAGCACGAAACUUGCCCCGAGAUGAGUUCUCCCUGAGACUUAGAGUCUCCUGAAGGAACGUUGAAGACGACGACGUUGAUAGGCCGGGUGUGUAAGCGCAGCGAUGCGUUGAGCUAACCGGUACUAAUGAACCGUGAGGCUUAACCUUACAACGCCGAAG
rnacentral:rRNA from 4 species